rnacentral:snRNA from 1 species
AUCGCUUCUCGGCCUUUUGGCUAAGAUCAAGUGUAGAAUUAUUAUUGAAUAUUAUUAACUUUUUAUGUGUGUAUAAGUUAGAAUCACAUAAAUCCUGACUCAGAAUAGUUUAUACCCCAC